AAAUUCAGAAUUGUGAAUUUACAUGUAAAUGCACAGAAACCAAAACGGGCUUUUUCUUAAAUUCAUCCAAGUAAGAACAAAAAGAGCAAUCCUAAAAAUAGGAUGUGAUUUCUCAUUCAGUAGACCUGCAAAAGCACAACAUUGCAACAGAUGAGAUGUUCAUCAUCAUAUAGCAUCCAUAGCAUAUAUCCCUUCAACAGGUUUAAUUAAGACAGCUUCAACAAAGAGAUGGGCUAGCUAACAGGUAAUGAGGAUGCACCAAUUCGGCAAUUCCCAGAUAAAACCUCAUAAUCAACCCUGCAGACCAGCUAGACGAGUGGGACUGUUCUAUAAUGUAUGCUCUAUGCAUCUAUCCUCUUGCAACUUUCAGUUACCAUGAUCGACAGGACUCCAAAUGUAUUUGUAAACAAUCCCUAGCCAAUUUUGGUGCACAGUGCACCCCGUCCCCGUGAACAUGAGAUCCCAACAUAUGUAUCACACAAAAUUGCUGUGUAUACCGGUUGCCCCCCACCCAGAGGACAAUUAUCAGCAGUUCAUCAGUGUUACCGCUCCCACCAAAACAUGAACCAACCGUAACCUAACCAAUAUUUUGAUAUUUUUCACAACCAUUCCCCUCCCUUUCGUAUGCACAAGGCACCCACUCCCUUGAGACAAACGUUUCGGAUACAAAUACAGCCAUCGGAGAUUCGAAUCCCACUAAUCCAUUAUUGACAAUUCAGCUCGAGCACGAGCGAAUGGAGCGAUGCGUCCCAGUAAGCAGAAAUUGGCAGCAAAUAGGUAGGCGCGGGCAGGAAUUGGACGCGAAUCAGGCAGGCCACGAGAGUAUCAGGGGAAGGAGGCGGCGGCUUACCAAGGAAGAGCCCGGAUCUAUCUGUCUAGCAGAGCACGGGGAGGGGGGAGGAGUGUCGCGGGAAAUCGCCUCCGGUGAUCAGGAAGGUGGUCAUCUCCGCGAAGGCCGCCGCCCCCCUACUUGACGCGUCGCGAGGUCGAACGAUGGAGAGGCCGAGAGGCGAGAGGCCGGGAGACGGAGCAGUGGAGUGCCGGAAGAGGAGGAAGAAGGCCCACGCCCCUGCGGCACAAGACGCACACUGUUGCCGUGUGGCCGGUGCGUGCCGUGUGCAAGAUCUGGGUCGCUCGCUCCCUCCUUUGGACGGUUUGUCUCAUUGCUAAUCUGCCAUUAGAAAGAAAAUGCCGUC
rnacentral:lncRNA from 1 species